rnacentral:rRNA from 1 species
GAUGAACGUUGGCGGCGUGCCUAACACAUGCAAGUCGAGCGAAUGAAGUUCCUUCGGGAACGGAUUUAGCGGCGGACGGGUGAGUAACACGUGGGCAACCUGCCCUCAUAGAGGGGAAUAGCCUUCCGAAAGGGAGAUUAAUACCGCAUAAGAUUGUAGUACCGCAUGGUACAGCAAUUAAAGGAGCAAUCCGCUAUGAGAUGGGCCCGCGGCGCAUUAGCUAGUUGGUGAGGUAACGGCUCACCAAGGCGACGAUGCGUAGCCGACCUGAGAGGGUGAUCGGCCACAUUGGGACUGAGACACGGCCCAGACUCCUACGGGAGGCAGCAGUGGGGAAUAUUGCACAAUGGGGGAAACCCUGAUGCAGCAACGCCGCGUGAGUGAUGACGGCCUUCGGGUUGUAAAGCUCUGUCUUCAGGGACGAUAAUGACGGUACCUGAGGAGGAAGCCACGGCUAACUACGUG